rnacentral:rRNA from 1 species
UACGUAGGGUGCGAGCGUUGUCCGGAAUUAUUGGGCGUAAAGAGCUCGUAGGCGGUCUGUCGCGUCGGUCGUGAAAACUUGGGGCUUAACCCUGAGCUUGCGGUCGAUACGGGCAUGACUGGAGUUCGGUAGGGGAGACUGGAAUUCCUGGUGUGGCGGUGAAAUGCGCAGAUAUCAGGAGGAACACCGGUGGCGAAGGCGGGUCUCUGGGCCGAUACUGACGCUGAGGAGCGAAAGCGUGGGGAGCAAACAGG